UGCCAGGAGCAAACACAUCUCCAGGGUUCUCACAAUGACACAUCCAUUCCCUCUGUCACAGCUGCUGAGAGCAGCAUCAGGGCUGCAGAAAACCCAGGGUCCAGUAUCCAAAGGGCAGUGCCCAGCUCCAUGGCUCAGCCCCUGGCCUCGGCUUCCUCCUCGGUGGCCGCAGCACAGGGACAUUUCCCCGAGCCCUCUACAGAGCGCCAGCUCGCUCCUCCUCGCCUGGCUUCGGAAAGGACUGCCAUGGAUAAGCUAGCCAUUGGAAGCAGCUACCAGCCAUCCAACAUCUCGGCCACGGAGAGGAGAGUUUCAGAUUUACCCACCACCAGCACCUCCGUUUCCACAACAGUCACCAAGGGUUCGGGGAGGACGUUAAGAUCUCUGCCAGCCAGCACCAGGUUGGCUGAUGCAGCAGAGAUUUCUACCUCUGGUACCAAAAUCAUCAGCUCCUCAGACCAGACCUGGACCCCUGGGAUGUCUUUGGGAGCACAGCGUGGUGGUGGCAGAGGUGCCACAGAACUAUUGCUUAUGGACUCGCCGUCUGCUUCGGAAAGCGCUUCCACAACCUUUAGCAGCAGCAGUGAUGAACCCAAGAGCAUCCCAGCUGCAGAAGAGGCAACGCUGCACUCGGAUGCCCACAAUGCUGACAUGCCCAGUGUGGCAGAGUGGUCACCGGGAUCCCCUGCAAACGGCCACACAGCCAUGGUGGCAAGGGGUUCUGCCACCAGCAUUGACCCCACCAGCUCUUUGAGGGGGACCUUCUCCUCCUUGGGGCCUGGAACACACCAUCCUAAUGGCUCACAGGAAGCCACUGAUCUCCCAGCGCCUCCUGGGGAGCCUUUGCUCACAAGCUCCCUCUCUGCUUCUGAAAGUACAUUCAGAGGUAAAUUUGUAGUCUGAUAGUUGGCUGCUUUGAAGCUGGAUGGAUUUCACAUCCCUGUGCUGUUUUUCUUU
rnacentral:lncRNA from 1 species